rnacentral:rRNA from 1 species
AACGAACGCUGGCGGCAUGCCUAACACAUGCAAGUCGAACGAGACCUUCGGGUUUAGUGGCGACCGGGUGCGUAACGCGUGGGAACCUGCCCUUAGGUUCGGAAUAACUCCCCGAAAGGGGUGCUAAUACCGGAUAAUGUCUUCGGACCAAAGAUUUAUCGCCUUUGGAUGGGCCCGCGUUGGAUUAGCUAGUUGGUAGGGUAAAAGCCUACCAAGGCGACGAUCCAUAGCUGGUCUGAGAGGAUGAUCAGCCACACUGGGACUGAGACACGGCCCAGACUCCUACGGGAGGCAGCAGUGGGGAAUAUUGGACAAUGGGCGAAAGCCUGAUCCAGCAAUGCCGCGUGAGUGAUGAAGGCCUUAGGGUUGUAAAGCUCUUUUACCCGGGAUGAUAAUGACAGUACCGGGAGAAUAAGCUCCGGCUAACUCCGUG